rnacentral:rRNA from 1 species
CCCUUAGAUGUUCUGGGCCGCACGCGCGCUACACUGACUGGUUCAUCGAGUAUACAACCUUGACUGAUAGGUCUGGGUAAUCUUCUCAAAGCCAGUCGUGCUGGGGAUAGAUUAUUGUAAUUUUUAAUCUUCAACGAGGAAUUCCUAGUAAACGCGAGUCAUCAACUCGCAUUGAUUACGUCCCUGCCCUUUGUACACACCGCCCGUCGCACCUACCGAUUGGAUGGUCCGGUGAAGCCUCGGGAUUGUGGUUCUUGCCGCUUUAUUGUGGCGUGACCGCGAGAACUUGUCUAAACCUUAUCAUCUAGAGGAAGGUGAAGUCGUAACA